GAUACGGUCCAAAGGUUUACCCACUCCAGAGAUGAAGACAGGGACCAGAUGGUGGGCAGAUCCAGGUUUGGUGAUAAGUCUCCUCCUAGGCAGAGGCGGCGAGCCAGCUCGGCUGGGAGAAAGAGCCCAGGAGAAUCCUGGGAAGGU